rnacentral:rRNA from 1 species
CACCACGAGGAUCCUACUGUCUCCCUACUCCAAUCAGUGAAACUGAUCUCUCCGUGAAGAAGCGGGGAUACAAAUAUAAGACGAGAAGACCCCAUGGAGCUUUAAACCCAACGACACCCAUUUUCUUUAUACCCUAGUAUUCAUUUGGCUAUGUUUGAUUGGUUUUAGGUUGGGGUGACCACGGAGCAUAAAAUAACCUCCACGAAGAAGAGACUAAUAAUCUUUAUCAAAGAAGUACACUUCUAAGAAUUAACAAAUUAAUUUCCAAUGAUCCGAUAUUCGAUCAACGAACCAAGUUACCCUGGGGAUAACAGCGCAAUCCACCUCAAGAGCUCCUAUCGACAGGUGGGUUUACGACCUCGAUGUUGGAUCAGGAUAUCCC